rnacentral:lncRNA from 1 species
GGCCGCCGCCGACGAGGGCCGUCAUGUACUCGAUGAGCGUGAAGAGGUCAAUGAUGCCCAGGCGCCGCACGGCGGGUCGGUAGUCGUCCAUGUCGGUGACAUAGUCUUCGUGGCCUAGAGAGUCCUCGGCGUCCACGUCGUCUGUGUUUUCGGCGGCUUCAGACUCGGCGGUGUCCUCCAUCCGUUGCUGGCAGUCGGCGGCGUCGCCAGCGGCUGUCGUCUCGCCUUCGCCGUCCCUGUCCUCGCCCUCUUCUUCAGGGACGAGCAUGCGCCGUCUCUUUUUGGGGGGCAAGGCCAACCCCGUCCCGUCGUCGUCGGGUUUGGCGGCGUCGGCGGCAGACUCGACAGUGUCUUGGUCGUCGACGGGGGUCUCGUCAUCGGGCUGCUCCUCUUGCCGAGGUCGCUUGUUGUUUGUCGUCUGGUCUUCUUCUACUUGGGCUGCCUCUUGAUCCAUGGCAUCGUCGGCGGGCGGCAACGGGAUGUCCACAGCGCCGACGGUCGGCGGGGCGGCGAGGGCGGCACCGUCGUCAGCGCCGGAGGCGGGUUCGAUGGCGACAGUCUCUUCGACCGUCUCGGACGGGACGUGCGGCGCGGGGUCCGUGUCGAGGGCAGACUCUGGCAAGGCCAAGUCUCUUGCGCCAGCGUCCUCUGCGGGCAGUUGGGCGUCGUCUGUCGACUGGGUCGGCGGCGACGACGCCGAGGCCGCUACAUUGUUGGCGACGGCGGUCACGGCCACGGCAGGCGCGUCCUCGGCGACCUCCAUGCGGACCUCCUCGUUGAAAGCAAACGGUUCCUGUGCAGUGACGGCCUCCUCCAAAGGAACCGAGGCAGAGUCGGUCUGCACGGGGACGCUGUCGGCGGGGUCGAUCGUGGCAGACGAGGGCUCGGGGGGCGGCGCGGCAACGGCCGUGAGACCGCGCUUGGUUCUCUUGGCAAGGCGACGCUUGGUGAGGGCAACGGCAGACAUGUUGGUCACGUGUUUCUUUUGUCCUGUUUUUGCUCUAGGCCUACUCCGUGGUCGGUUGCUGGGCGAGUCGAUAAAGGAAUGUGUUUUUGUCUUGUCGUCCUUGUUUAUAUGUUUUGCCUGUGACCAAUGCUCUUUUUGUGACGACAAUUUUCUUUUUUAGGUUAACGCAGAUCGGGGUUUUUGCAUCAAUCUUUUCUUCGUCUUUUUUUCUUUUUGCUUUUUCGGCACGUCAUGCUGCCGGUGUGCGCGAAC